CAGUCGAAAAUGCAAUGUUUCUAUCAAAUAAGUUCAAAAUGUUGACCAAGAUAUUUCUAUUCGGCUGUUGCAUAAUUGGUGCAUUUGGAAAUGAUCAAAAUGCUACAGAUACGAAUACAAACGUCUUCAAUAUCCAAGUGAGCGAAUCUCAAUAUGCAACUAUCAGUGGAAGGAAUUACUAUAUCCAUGUGGUGUCUACGGUAAUAUAAUACUUACUGUUU